GGGUGCGAUCAUACCAGCACUAAUGCACCGGAUCCCGGCAACGCGACCCUAUGAAAGCGUGCUUGGGCGAGAGUUGUACUACGAUGGGUGACCUCCUUGGAAGUCCUCGUCUUGCACCCC
rnacentral:rRNA from 1 species